rnacentral:lncRNA from 1 species
ACUUUUGUUUGCAGGUUGACUUAGCUACUUCAGCAUUGCUCCAUGUUUGACCUAUGAAAAAGGUAUCAGUAGAUUUGAGCAGAGCCCAGAAGUAUCAUGCUCUUUCCAGUAAAAUUCUUUUCCCAUGUUUUUUUUGAAUAUAUUUGUACUGAAAUGACAAAAACACAAAAGUCCUAAAUUUUAGAAUAGAUGUUAAUCUUUUUAUUUAAUCUUUAAAAAAACUGGAUGUUUCAAUCUUUUAAAUUGCAAGACACAAGGCAAUUCCAACUGGGCAUUUCAAUCUGGUUUUAGGUGCUUUAGAGAUAAUUGCUAGGCAGUGCCAAAUGAGGGCAUCAGUGCUUUGUACCCGGAAAUUGGCCUCUAUAUGCAGCACUAAGAUUAAUACAGCUUUCUCUUGAACCUUCCAGUCUUCCAUGUCGGUGGUAAUGUGCUUUGUUUUUUCCUUUUUUUUCCUCAAGAAGAAAUGUUAGUAUGUCCUAAAUAAUGAAGUGCACUUACGCUCAUAAAAUUGCUUGCACCUAAUCCAAAAGUCAUGGUCUUGCCUUAGUUCAUUAACAUGGUCUUCAUUUCCGGUUUGCAUUGACUGCUAUAACACUUACUCAUUUGGCUUUCAUGUUUAAAUGGUUCUGUGAUAAUCAAAACUUAGUUACUGUUCACUGUGGUACUUUUCCAUUCAGUUCUGUACUCAGAGAUGGCACCACCUACUGCUUCUAUGAGAGAGUUAAUUAUUUCAGCCCAAUGCCUAACACAUCAUGUAUUCCUUACAGCUUCUAGGACAUCUUCCAUACAUGUAUGCGUACAUGUGUCCAUACUGGUAUGACCCAGCAAAUAUUUCUUAAGAUAUUGAUCUGCAACCAUAUAUAGAAGGUUCUUGUUAUUGGGAGGGCAGAUUAAAUGCCUUUCAUUCUCAAGAAAGUGAAGAGCUAUCUGGGUUCCAAAAUGCUGAUGUUGAAUACAUGAUAUAUAUGCACACAUAUAGGCACUUGCAUGUUAGCAUGUUUAUGUCUGUGACUGUCUUUUGAGUUAUAUAGGAGUGACAGAGUUUGUGUCACUUUAACUUGCUGUCUACUUAGCCUGAAAACCUUACUCGUUCAGAAUCAUAGUCCUGACUGACUUCUAGAGCAACCAGGGCACUGCAUGGCCAACUUAAAACACUUGUUAUAAACGAACCAGAAAUCUGAUUUUUAAAAUACAUUUUUCAUUUUAACUGUGUUUUAGCAUAAGCUUGUUAAUUCUAAAAGAAUGGAUUGUGCUUUUAAGAACAUAGGUCUUAUGUAUUUGUCAUGAAUCAACAAAACAGCUUUUAAAAAAGGACUAAUUGGAACAAGUGGGUGGCACUGGCUUAAUGCUGUUAAUGUUUCUAAACGAAUUUACAUUUAGAUCAUAUAUUGGAUUCAUAUUAAGAUACCUCCAAAGCACUGUUUUAUAGAAAGAUCUGAUUUCAAUAAAUAUUUUUGUAUUUUACAUGGGCCAGUUUAUGUCUGCUAUUUACACUAUUAUUUCCUAUAGACAAUACACACUAUCUUUGUAUUUUUUUUUUUGUAUUUUUGUUUUGUUUUACUGGUUUUGCUUCUCGACGGUAAUACUCUAUUUGGUUUGGGAUGUUUUCCACACUUUAGUAUUUGUAUAAGAAACUGGUCCAUGUAAGUACUUUCCAUGUUUUCUCUUCAACUGUUUAAAGUGCUAGUUGAUGUACGAUAUCUCUUCUCAGAUAUUUGCCUGUCUGUUUGCCCAACAUUGCUUCUAAAUCAAUAAAGAUUCUUUUAUUUCUUAAGGAAA